rnacentral:lncRNA from 1 species
GAAUGAAUAGCACCGGAAGUGCAAAAUAAAGCCGUAUUCCUUGGUCUGAGGGAGAAGCAAGGAUCAGUGUCAGCAUUUUUUCCUCCCACAAUGGUGAAACAGGUUCCUCACUGUCUACCUGACUGUGCAGUAGACCCUGGCUCAUCAGGAGUAAGAAACCAUGACAGAAGAAAGAUCAGCACAUCCCUGAGCCUUUAUCAAAGAGACCGAGAGAUGGAGUAAAGUACUUCAACUAACCACGUCUUUCAGUCUGUCCUCGAGAGUGCAAAGAAGGGCUGUAGGAAGAGGAAACAUCAGAGGCUGCAAAGAAGAGGAAGAGGCUGAAAUAGAGAGACUGGCACAGGGCAAGGUAAGUGUGCUCGCACCUCUCAUCAAACAAACGUUGCUUUCAAUAGUCAGAGACCAUUCCAGAAAACCCAAACUGGGUAAAGUACAGUGAACAAGUGACCAAAGGCUCGGCAGCCCUAACUGAUACAUCUAAAGCGCAAUUCCUUCACGUAAGGCUCAUGGAACAUCAUGAAAGACGGGCAUGGGGUGGAAAGAUUGGUAGAGCCAGAGCACCAAGGGAGCUGCUGUGAGAUUGUCUUCUAAGAACUACAGAGGCUACAGCCAUGAAAACUCAGCAAUACGACUGCCUCCCAAGACCUAAACAAGGCUAGGAGAUGGCUCCGCAGG